GCGGGUGUGGCUCAAUGGUAGAGCGCCAGCCUUCCAAGCUGGACGCGUGGGUUCGAUUCCCAUCACCCGCUCCA
rnacentral:tRNA from 1 species